GGGGGAUUAGCUCAGCUGGCUAGAGCGCCUGCCUUGCAAGCAGGAGGUCAUCGGUUCGAUUCCGAUAUUCUCCACCA
rnacentral:tRNA from 3 species